AUUGAACGCUGGCGGCAUGCCUUACACAUGCAAGUCGAACGGCAGCACGGGAGCAAUCCUGGUGGCGAGUGGCGAACGGGUGAGUAAUAUAUCGGAACGUGCCCAGUCGUGGGGGAUAACGCAGCGAAAGCUGUGCUAAUACCGCAUACGAUCUACGGAUGAAAGCGGGGGAUCGCAAGACCUCGCGCGAUUGGAGCGGGCGAUAUCAGAUUAGCUAGUUGGUGGGGUAAAGGCCCACCAAGGCGACGAUCUGUAGCUGGUCUGAGAGGACGACCAGCCACACUGGAACUGAGACACGGUCCAGACUCCUACGGGAGGCAGCAGUGGGGAAUUUUGGACAAUGGGCGCAAGCCUGAUCCAGCAAUGCCGCGUGCAGGAUGAAGGCCUUCGGGUUGUAAACUGCUUUUGUACGGAACGAAACGGCCCUUUCUAAUACAGGGGGCUAAUGACGGUACCGUAAGAACAAGCACCGGCUAACUACGUGCCAGCCGCCGCGGUAA
rnacentral:rRNA from 1 species